CUCACCAGGUCAGGACACGGUAAGGAUUGACGGACUGAAGGCUCUUUCUCGAUUCCGUGGAAAGUGGUGCAUGGCCGUUUUUGGUUGGUGGAUCGAUCCGUCUGGUUAAUUCCGUUAACGAACGAGACCUCGGCACUCCGAAUAGCGCGGCGGACGUCGCGGCCUCCGGGCCGUCUUCCGCACGAGCUUCUUAGAGGGACCGUCCCCCGCCGGGGAAGGAGGUGCGAGGCAACGACAGGUCUGUGAUGCCCUUAGAUGUUCUGGGCCGCACGCGCAUUACACUGACGCGUCCAACGGGUGACUCCCGACCCGAAGGGGCCGGGGAAUCCGCAAGGCGCGUCGUGAUGGGGAUUGAACGUUGCAAUUGUUGUUCACGAACGAGGAAUUCCUAGUAGGCGCGGGUCAUCAACCCGCGCCGAUUACGUCCCUGCCCUUUGUACACACCGCCCGU
rnacentral:rRNA from 1 species